rnacentral:rRNA from 1 species
AAAAAGUUGUAAGUGGAUUUUAANUUCGGCCCGGNCGGUUCCSCCUACCGKKGGUUACUGUUCGYARCCGAGUGUUCAGGUGGUUAUUCUUGAUGAUCUUCACCGGUUGUCUAGGGUGACCGCCAAGUUUACUUUGAAAAAAUUAGAGUGCUCAAAGCAAGCGUGACGCCUGAAUAAUUGUGCAUGGAAUAAUGGAAUAGGAUCUCGGUUCUAUUUUGUUGGUUUUCGGAACACGAGGUGAUGAUUAAGAGGGACAGACGGGGGCAUUCGUAUUGCGACGCUAGAGGUGAAAUUCUUGGACCGUCGCAAGACGAACUACUGCGAAAGCAUUUGCCAAGAAUGUUUCCGUUAAUCAAGAACGAAAGUUAGAGGUUCGAAGGCGAUCAGAUACCGCCCUAGUUCUAACCAUAAACGAUGCCAGCCAGCGAUCCGGCUGUGUUCCUCMAAUGACACGCCGGGCAGCUUCCGGGAAACCAAAGCYUUUGGGUUCCGGGGGAAGUAUGGUUGCAAAGCUGAAACUUAAAGGAAUUGACGGAAGGGCACUACAAGGAUUGGAGCCUGCGGCUUAAUUUGACUCAACACGGGAAAACUUACCCGGCCCGGACACAGGAAGGAUUGACAGAUUAAGAGCUCUUUCUUGAUUCUGUGGGUGGUGGUGCAUGGYCGUUCUUAGUUGGUGGGGUGACUUGUCUGGUUGAUUCCGAUAACGAACGAGACUCUARCCURCUAAAUAGACGUUCCCAUYCUCUUGUAGUGGGACGUUCUUCUUAGAGGGAYAAGCGGCGCUUAGCCGCACGAGACAGAGCAAUMACAGGUCUGGGAUGCCCUUAGAUGUCCGGGGCCGCACGCGCGCYACAWUGAAGGAAUCAGCGUGUGCUUUCCCUGUCCGAAAGGACUGGGUAACCCGUUGAACCUCCUUCGUGCUGGGGAUUGGCVCVUGDAAUWGUSGCCAUGAACGAGGAAUUCCUAGUAAGCRCGAGUCAUCAGCUCGUGUUGAUUACGUCCCUGCCCUUUGUCCACACCGCCCGUCGCUACUACCGAUUGAAUGAUUUAGUGAGGUCUUCGGAUUGGCGCUCGGAUUGGGCUUCGCUGGUCGAGCCGGUGUGCCGRRAAGAUGACCAAACUUGAUCAUUUAGAGGAAGUAAAAGUCGUAACAAGGUUUUC